rnacentral:rRNA from 1 species
UAACGGCGAGUGAAGUGGGAAAAGCUCAACUUUGAAAUCUGGCACUUUCAGUGUCCGAAUUGUAGUCUCAAGAAGUGUUUUCUGUGCUAGUCCGUGUAUGAGUCUGUUGGAACACAGCGUCAUAGAGGGUGACAACCCCGUUCAUGACACGGAUACUAGUGCUUUGUGAUACACCUUUCGAAGAGUCGAGUUGUUUGGGAAUGCAGCUCAAAUUGGGUGGUAAAUUCCAUCUAAAGCUAAAUAUUGGCGAGAGACCGAUAGCAAACAAGUACCGUGAGGGAAAGAUGAAAAGCACUUUGGAAAGAGAGUUAACAGUACGUGAAAUUGUUGAAAGGGAAACGAUUGAAGUCAGACGUGCGUGAUGCGGUUCAGCUUUGGUUCGCCAGAGUGUACUCCGUAUCGUUGCAGGCCAACAUCGGUUUUGUUAGUCGGAUAAAGGUUUGAGAAAUGUGGCAUCUUCGGGUGUGUUAUAGUCUCAGACUGAAUACGAUUGAUGGGACCGAGGAACGCAGCGCGCCGCAAGGCAAAGGUUCCGACCUUUUCGCGCUUAGGAUGUUGGUGAAAUGGCUUUAAACGACCCGUCUUGAAACACGGACCAAGGAGUCUAACAUGCUUGCGAGUGUUUGGGUGGCAAACCCAUACGCGUAAUGAAAGUGAAUGGAGGUGGGAUCCUUUACCGGAGCACCAUCGACCGGCCCAGAUUUUUAAUGAAGGGUCUGAGUAAGAGCACGUAUGUUGG